UGGGGAAUUUUGGACAAUGGGCGAAAGCCUGAUCCAGCAAUGCCGCGUGUGUGAAGAAGGCCUUCGGGUUGUAAAGCACUUUUGUCCGGAAAGAAAUCCUCUGGGUUAAUACCUCGGGGGGAUGACGGUACCGGAAGAAUAAGCACCGGCUAACUACGUGCCAGCAGCCGCGGUAAUACGUAGGGUGCAAGCGUUAAUCGGAAUUACUGGGCGUAAAGCGUGCGCAGGCGGUUUUGUAAGACGGAUGUGAAAUCCCCGGGCUUAACCUGGGAACUGCAUUCGUGACAGCAAGGCUAGAGUAUGGCAGAGGGGGGUAGAAUUCCACGUGUAGCAGUGAAAUGCGUGGAGAUGUGGAGGAAUACCGAUGGCGAAGGCAGCCCCCUAGGCCAAUACUGACGCUCAUGCACGAAAGCGUGGGGAGCAAAC
rnacentral:rRNA from 1 species